rnacentral:rRNA from 1 species
AGUGAACGCUGGCGGUAGGCCUAACACAUGCAAGUCGAACGGCAGCACAGUAAGAGCUUGCUCUUACGGGUGGCGAGUGGCGGACGGGUGAGGAAUACAUCGGAAUCUACUUUUUCGUGGGGGAUAACGUAGGGAAACUUACGCUAAUACCGCAUACGACCUACGGGUGAAAUCAGGGGAUCUUCGGACCUUGCGCGAUUGAAUGAGCCGAUGUCGGAUUAGCUAGUUGGCGGGGUAAAGGCCCACCAAGGCGACGAUCCGUAGCUGGUCUGAGAGGAUGAUCAGCCACACUGGAACUGAGACACGGUCCAGACUCCUACGGGAGGCAGCAGUGGGGAAUAUUGGACAAUGGGCGCAAGCCUGAUCCAGCCAUACCGCGUGGGUGAAGAAGGCCUUCGGGUUGUAAAGCCCUUUUGUUGGGAAAGAAAAGCAGCAUGUUAAUACCCCGCUGUUCUGACGGUACCCAAAGAAUAAGCACCGGCUAACUUCGUG